AAUGCCGGAUGCUCCGACAUGACGCAUGUCGUGUCGGGAAAGAUUCAUCGGUAUGGGAUGGGGUCGCGUCCUAUCAGCUUGAUGGCGGGGUAACGGCCCACCAUGGCUUCGACGGGUAGCCGGCCUGAGAGGGCGACCGGCCACAUUGGGACUGAGAUACGGCCCAGACUCCUACGGGAGGCAGCAGUGGGGAAUAUUGCACAAUGGGCGCAAGCCUGAUGCAGCGACGCCGCGUGCGGGAUGACGGCCUUCGGGUUGUAAACCGCUUUUGACUGGGAGCAAGCCCUUCGGGGUGAGUGUACCUUUCGAAUAAGCACCGGCUAACUACGUGCCAGCAGCCGCGGUAAUACGUAGGGUGCAAGCGUUAUCCGGAAUUAUUGGGCGUAAAGGGCUCGUAGGCGGUUCGUCGCGUCCGGUGUGAAAGUCCAUCGCUUAACGGUGGAUCCGCGCCGGGUACGGGCGGGCUUGAGUGCGGUAGGGGAGACUGGAAUUCCCGGUGUAACGGUGGAAUGUGUAGAUAUCGGAA
rnacentral:rRNA from 1 species